ensembl:lncRNA
AGCCCCUGCAAGCCUCUCCUCAAUUGGUUACACCUCACCAGGCCUGAAGCCAUUUUAUUUGCCCUGGGGCUGCCCUGCGCCGUGCACCCCCAAGUCAGGGGCCAGAGUCCCUCUCUCUGAUCCCCUCCUCCCUGCCAUGUGACCGCCAAACCCUCAGCCCUCCUCUGGGGAGUGAGAGACUCUGGCCUGGUCCCUCAGCUUCACACAUCUUCAGGGCAAAGGACGGAUGGCUGAGCAAGACUGACAUCUCCUGAAUGCCUGAGGCCACCCCGACUGCCCUCCAACCCCACCUCCUAGAUUUGGGUGGCCUCUUCCCUCUCUGCCCCUCCUGACAUCUCUUCCCUCCACACCCCUGCCCUUCCCUGCUCCAGCCAGACUUCACUGGAAUGUCUGGGCUCGGGUCCUGAUGGACCCCAAGGUUGGCAAGGGUGGGGGGGACACAGCCGGCUGGCCAAGCCUUAACAGUGACCGGAGACCCUCCUAGGGGAACUUCCGAGUUAAAUUUCUGCCUGGGGAGAAGUUUACCAGAAUGUACUGAAUGGAGACACCAAAUUCAGGGUUAAACUAGCAGUUCUAACCCGUGACUGCAUUUUAGAAUCACCUGGGAAGCUUUUCCCCAAAACACCACUACCCAGGUCCCACCACAGAUGUUCGGACCUAAUUAAGGCCCAGGCAGCAACUUCUUUUCCCUUUUUCUUUAACUUCUUACUGAAGUAUAACAUUUAUACAGAAGAGCACACAUAAGCCUAAGGCUCUAUGAAUCUUUUUAAAUUAAAUGCACCUGAGUAACCAGCAGUCUGCUGAGGAAACAGUUUUACUCUCCUCCUCUGAGCCCGGGGAUGGUGUUCAGUCACUGUGCCCCAUGGAGGAGAACCAUGCUCUUGGUUUUAGCACCAGGGGAUUCCUUGGCCAGGCGUUCUUUGAGAUCCGCCCAGGUGAUUUCUCCAGAGCAGCUGGGGUCCAGAACACUGGCCUGGACACCUCCACCACCUUGCGCAGCACACUACGGCCCUAGCCUACCCCCAACUAUUUCCCUUGACAAAGAUGAAGAGCUUCAGAGGCACCAAGCUCAACGGUUACUUCUUAAAUUAACAGACACAAGUCCCCACGGCGCCCCCUCUCCCAGGGCUGUCCCCUGUGGCAGGGGCCUCCUGAGCUGGGCCUACUGCUGGUGUUCACCACUAACCCUGGCUGUCUCUGAGAUGGUCCUUCCAGAAACUGCCACGGCUGUCAGGGCUCAGGAACCUGCUACUGCCUCCCCACCCUGGAUGCCAUUUCCCCUCCUGAACUGGAGGCUUUAGGAUGCACCUGCUGGGCGGGGGCAGCCCGGCUCAGGAGGCCUUAUCCUGGGGCUGCAUGGUUAGGAGGCAGCUGCUUUCUCAUAGCGGGCCACGGAAACUCCUCCGCCUCGACAGUCGGGGUACCAUCCAGGGGGCUGGGCUGAGGGACAGGGCGCCCAGCUGAAGGCAGCCCUCUGAGUGCGAACCUCGAGCUCGAGCCACUGUGGUCGGCAGGUUUGGAGUGGCUGGCCCCAGACACCGGGCUUUACCGAGGUCAAGGCAGCCAAGACCGUCACCAUCUCCAGGGCCUGCCAGGGACCUACGUGGGAGAGCAAGCAGGAAGCUGAGCCCAGGCUGCAGAAGGCCCAGUGGGGGAUAAUGGCCUCGACUGAGAAGGAGACUCAACUCAGAACAGCGUGGUGCACAGCGGGCAGGGAUUACUAAGGCCUGGGUGCCCCGGGCCCCUCAGGAAGCGAACACUGGCAGCACGUGGGGGCAGCACACGGUACACCACGCAACCGGCCCUGGGACCCCGCCCACCAUGCCUGUCCUUGUGCCACGUGACUGCCUCUCCGCUGAGGUUUAUUGGCCGCCUUGGCCGGGCUGGGCCAAUCAGAUUCUCUCCCCGGACUUCGGUGGUGUGGGCGUGGAGCCCGACCGGGAGAAGGCGGAGCUGGAGGCUCAGCUCUGUGCGAACUAGGCCAGGCCCGGGCAAGACUGAAGGGAGUCCAGCUAAACCCAGGGCUGGGGGCCUGGCAGCAGAGGCAGCCACGUGGGAAGGGAGGAGACGGGCAGCGUGUCUUUUCCAGGUCUGAUCAUUUUAUGGCCUGGCCGUUCCUUCCCGCUACCAGACGAUGCCCCUGCCUUCCAUCCUCACGUUCUACUUGAGAUGAUGAAUGGAGAUCUGUUUGAAGAUGGAGGAGAACGAAAAGGAGGAGAAAAGGAUUCAAGAGAAAAUGAGCUUGCCUCACGGCAUUUUCCUUCGUGCAGAUUUCCUGCGGGAUGUGUGUUGAGCAUAGAAGCGUGUGUAGAGGUAUUGACUGGACCGGCAGCUUUAGCCACGACGUCAUAUUUCAUCUAGUCCCAACCUUUUCAGGUGUUUGCUUAUCUCCCUUUACAAAUGAGAGAACCGAAGCUCAGGGAAAUAGACUGCCCAAAUGAAGCGGUGGGGCCAGAAUAUGGGGCUGGUCUGUAUCCAUCUGGGUGGCAAGCUCUUCUCCAGCCCUCCAGCUCUACGUGGAUGUCAUCUUGCAGGGUGCUCAGCAGACCUGUGCUGGCGUCAACCCUGGAUGUCUGCCAUGGCGUGGGUAGAGGAGACACCGCACCUGUGCUCUGCAGCUGCCUCUCCCACCUGUGUCACGGUGAGCACAGUUUUGGGGGGAAAAGAGGAAGAAAACGUUUAUCUGUCUGCCUAGCAACUGCUGGCCUAUUCUCUGAAAAAGACCUCGGGAUGGAGACGCUCCUCCUGCCAGGGUGUCUGGCUGGGCUUGGGCCCCUCUGUCUUGGGCUCCUGGCCUCUGUCUUCCCGGGAAAGAGGAUGGGUCACUCAAAUUUCUACCAGCCCCCGACCUUGUAAAUUCCUACCAGGCACAUGGGCUUCGGGGAACAGAGCACUGUCAUCUUUCUCCAGCAAAACAGCUGCCAGUCUGAACACUGAUUUCCCAGAAGGUCACACAAGGACUCAUGAGCUCGUGUCUGGCCCUGGUUCAAAGGAAAGUUGUUCUGUGAGUCUGGUGCUCUGGAACCAGGCCUAGGCAGCGUUCCCUGGGUGCCACGGCAGUCAUUAGGGAAGCAGAACACCCCCAGGGCCUCGUGGUUGCACUAGGGAACAAAGGGUGUGUGGUUUCUCCCCACCUGUUUGUCUCUCUCUCCCUCCCACUCUUGACUCAAAAACUUAGGUCAAACCAGAGAGCUGAGAACAUCUUCCCACCAGCCCCCAUCCUCUUUGCUAAAAGCCUGCAGUGUAGCUGAAAGCAGCCUGGAGUGAGGAUCUGGCCGGUGGAGGCUGUCCUCUUGGUAGAGAACUUGAGUGCCAGGCAGGGACCCCGAGGCCGCGGGCUUGGCCCUGCUAUGAGAACGGUCAGACCUGCACCCGAAAGCACGUGGCUUCCCCUGGUGCCCCCUCCUGGAUCUUCCUGGAAGCAGCAGCUCUGCCCAGCACCCUGUCCGCUGGGCCUGGCUCUGAGCCUGGUGCUGGCUUUGCACGUGGCCGCCUCACUUGCAGGAACCAUCUCUGUUGCCUUUAGGAAUUAAGCAGCUUAGCCCACACCCAGUUGGUAUUUUCAGAAUUUCUGAUAAACAAAAUAAAUAUACAGCUUAUAUAACA